GGAAUAUUGGACAAUGGGCGAAAGCCUGAUCCAGCCAUGCCGCGUGAGUGAUGAAGGCCCUAGGGUUGUAAAGCUCUUUCAACGGUGAAGAUAAUGACGGUAACCGUAGAAGAAGCCCCGGCUAACUUCGUGCCAGCAGCCGCGGUAAUACGAAGGGGGCUAGCGUUGUUCGGAAUUACUGGGCGUAAAGCGCACGUAGGCGGAUACUUAAGUUAGGGGUGAAAUCCCGGGGCUCAACCCCGGAACUGCCUUUAAUACUGGGUAUCUCGAGUUCGAGAGAGGUGAGUGGAAUUCCGAGUGUAGAGGUGAAAUUUGUAGAUAUUCGGAGGAACACCAGUGGCGAAGGCGGCUCACUGGCUCGAUACUGACGCUGAGGUGCGAAAGCGUGGGGAGCGAAUGGGAUUAGAUACCCGGG
rnacentral:rRNA from 1 species